CAGUAGCCGCGGUAAUACGUAGGGUGCGAGCGUUAAUCGGAAUUACUGGGCGUAAAGUGUGCGCAGGCGGUUAUAUAAGACAGAUGUGAAAUCCCCGGGCUCAACCUGGGACCUGCAUUUGUGACUGUAUAGCUAGAGUACGGUAGAGGGGGAUGGAAUUCCGCGUGUAGCAGUGAAAUGCGUAGAUAUGCGGAGGAACACCGAUGGCGAAGGCAAUCCCCUGGACCUGUACUGACGCUCAUGCACGAAAGCGUGGGGAGCAAACAGGAUUAGAUACCCCCGUAGUCCCUGUCUCUUAUAC
rnacentral:rRNA from 1 species